rnacentral:rRNA from 1 species
UCCGUAUGGUGCGAGCGUUGUCCGGAAUUAUUGGGCGUAAAGAGCUUGUAGGCGGUUUGUCGCGUCUGCUGUGAAAAUCCGGGGCUCAACCCCGGACUUGCAGUGGGUACGGGCAGACUAGAGUGUGGUAGGGGAGACUGGAAUUCCUGGUGUAGCGGUGGAAUGCGCAGAUAUCAGGAGGAACACCGAUGGCGAAGGCAGGUCUCUGGGCCACUACUGACGCUGAGAAGCGAAAGCAUGGGGAGCGAACAGG